AUUGAACGCUUGCGGCAGGCCUAACACAUGCAAGUCGAGCGGAUGAAGGGAGCUUGCUCCUUGAUUCAGCGGCGGACGGGUGAGUAAUGCCUAGGAAUCUGCCUAGUAGUGGGGGACAACGUUUCGAACGGAACGCCAAUACCGCAUACGUCCUACGGGAGAGAGUGGGGGCUCUUCGGACCUCACGAUAUUAGAUGAGCAUUGGUUGGGUUAGCUAGUUGGUAGGGUAAAGGCCUACCAAGGGGACGAUCCGUAACUGGUCUGAGAGGAUGAUCAGUCACACUGGAACUGAGACACGGUCCAGACUCCUACGGGAGGCAGCAGUGGGGAAUAUUGGACAAUGUGCGCAAGCCUGAUCCAGCCAUGCCGCGUGUGUGAAGAAGGCCUUCGGGUCGUAAAGCACUUUAAGUUGGGAGAAAGGGCUUACGGUUAAUACCUGUGAGUUUUGACGUUACCAACAGAAUAAGCACCGGCUAACUUCGUGCCAGCAGCCGCCGUAA
rnacentral:rRNA from 1 species